rnacentral:rRNA from 1 species
GAUGAACGCUGGCGGCGUGCCUAAUACAUGCCAGUAGAACGCUGAAGGAAGGAGCUUGCUCUUUCCGGAUGAGUUGCGAACGGGUGAGUAACGCGUAGGUAACCUGCCUGGUAGCGGGGGAUAACUAUUGGAAACGAUAGCUAAUACCGCAUAACAGGAGAUGUUGCAUGAUAUCUACUUAAAAGGUGCAAUUGCACCACUACCAGAUGGACCUGCGUUGUAUUAGCUAGUUGGUGAGGCAACGGCUCACCAAGGCGACGAUACAUAGCCGACCUGAGAGGGUGAUCGGCCACCCUGGGACUGGGACACGGCCCAGACUCCUACGGGAGGCAGCAGUAGGGAAUCUUCGGCCAUGGACGGAAGGCUGACCGAGCAACGCCGCGUGAGUGAAGAAGGGUUUCGGAUCGUAAAGCUCUGUUGUAAGAGAAGAAAGAGUGUGAGAGUGGAAAGUUCACACUGUGACGGUAUCUUACCAGAAAGGGACGGCUAACUACGUG